CCCUGCCUUGUUCCCUUAGUUUUUGCUGUUCAUUUGAAUUUCUGAAUGUGUUUCGUUUUGAUGGUUUCUUUAAUCUGUGUUCCAAAGCCUUAAUUUUUGUUAGCCUGUCUUGUUUAGCCCUGAGCGUUUUCCUAGCCUUAUCCUGCUUUCCCGUUUGUCUUCGUGUGUGAUUUUGUUUACGCAUGUAUCCCCGUGCUCUCCGUGUUGGCCCUGGACUGCUUUAACGCCUCUGAUUCUGGAUUUGCCCUUAUUAAAUCUUGCUCUUCUCCGUACAUGCGUUCGCCUCUUUAUCACUCAACGUUACACACAUGGUCCACUGAUUUGAAGAGCGACAAGCCUCCGAUUCUCAACGCUCCUAAGGCACACCACUCUUGAGUCAGCAAACGGCCUCACGUUUCUUACAGAGAGGCGGCGUCCUUGUCAUCGGAAGACACUCCCCCAGCGCUCUGGUGCCUACGCGCAAAGCCUCAAAGACUCAAGAAGGAGGCCUCGCCACUGCCCGCCCCAGAGACAGGGAAAAUAGUGGUGCGCUUCCUGAUGCGUCUGCCACAAAGUCGGAGAAGCCACCGCCACCCAAAUCCGCCUCGGUCCUCUAGCCUCACUGUUUGCUGUUGGUCAUGGGGCCGUAGCCCGACAGGCUGGUGCGCCGGGAGUCAUACCGUUGCGGAGGGGCUCUGUCACGACUACAGAGAAACUGGACAGAGAAACUGUGCUCCACACUCCUGCAUCAGGGAAACCACUGUGUUUUCAUGCUGAGACCAAGAAAUGGCUCUGGUUUUGCUGUAUAAAACAAACAGCACGGAUGGGCCAAGAAACUGUGCUUUAUCAACACCAACAUGAACUGUGCUUUUCCUUUUGUCAACUCCACUGGUCAUAAUGAACCGUGUACUAGCAUAUCAUUUUUAAUGUAAAGUUUUUAAUUUAAAUAAAGUGAGA